GUGGGGAAUAUUCCGCAAUGGACGAAAGUCUGACGGAGCAACGCCGCGUGAGUGAUGAAGGUUUUCGGACUGUAAAGCUCUGUUGUUUAGGACGAAAGUGCCUGUUGCAAAUAGUUACAGGUAUUGACGGUACUGAACGAGGAAGCCACGGCUAACUACGUGCCAGCAGCCGCGGUAAUACGUAGGUGGCAAGAGUUGUCCGGAAUUAUUGGGCGUAAAGAGCAUGUAGGCGGGAAUCUAAGUCUGUUGUGAAAAUGCGGGGCUCAACCCCGUAUUGCGAUGGAAACUGGGUUUCUUGAGUGCAGGAGAGGAAAGGGGAAUUCCCAGUGUAGCGGUGAAAUGCGUAGAUAUUGGGAGGAACACCAGUGGCGAAGGCGCCUUUCUGGACUGUGUCUGACGCUGAGAUGCGAAAGCCAGGGUAGCGAACGGGAUUAGAUACCCGAGUAGUCC
rnacentral:rRNA from 1 species